rnacentral:lncRNA from 10 species
AAAUUUAUUUCUCAUUUCAUCAAAUAACAGUCACACACAUAAUCUUCUAAUAGAAUUAUCAACUUUUCAUAAUGAUAUCAAAUUUUACAACUGUGUGAUAAUAACUUUGAACCAAAAUUAUAAAUAAUAUUUUUCAUUUAAUUUAUGGACAUGCAUAACUUCCACUGAUAGGUCUAAUGAACCUCAGUGUUGUUGUCAAAAAGUCUGACUAUAAUCUUUUCUUUCCUUUAUGAGUCAGAUGCUCUUUUCUUCUAUGUGUCCCCAAAAUAUAUUGAUUCUUUCUUUUUUCUAACUUUCAUAAUUUUUUUUAGAAUAUGCUCUGGUAUUGAUGAAAGUCAACAUUUCAAGGCACACAGUGUUAUUUCUCAAUAUGUAGCUUUUUGUUUCUUUUUCCUUAAAAAAAAGUUUAAAGUUAUGUUUUAGAAUGUAUAUUUUAUGUCCUUGCUUUGGUUUUCUUUUUCAGGGGCUCUUAUGAUCUACAGGUUUAAAUUUCCUUAUCUAUUUUCAAUAUCUUGACUAUUUUUUUUCUAAAUCCUUUUGUCUCCUUUUAGAAAUUUAUCUGUUUGUUUUAAAUUUCUUUUUACUUUCUAUUUGUCUUAAUGCAUUAUUUUAUUGUUGCGUUCUUUUGUUUUAAUGCUCUUUUUUAACUAUUUGUGUUAAUGCAUUAUUUUAUUGUAUUCUUUCGUCGUCAGUACUAAUUUCUUAAAUCGUUAGUACUAAUUUCCUAAAUAUUUUUCUAGUAUCUUCAAUUAUUUCUUGAGUUCUGAGAUCUCAAUUCUGAGUUUUCUAUUUCUGAUUUAUGUUGCUCUUUCAUGUCUUGUAUUAUUUUAUUAAUGUCUUUUAGUUCAUUUUGAAAUAGUAGGUUAUAGUUUUGAUCUCUUUUGUGCACCAGUCUUUCUGGCAAGCUCUCCUUGUCUGUACAGAUAGUAUUCUUCUUUAUUCUCUUUAUUAUUAUAAUAACUUGGCAUGCAUGCGAUUUGAUAUUUAUGCUGUUCUCUUUUUCAAUUUUAGGUGAAAUAAGAUUUCCUGAGCUUUUCAAUGGAACAGAGUUCAACUAAACUUUUCCAUCUUCUCAGAGCUCCUGCUUUGGAUAUUUUACAUCCAGAAUUCAACAGUGUGGUAGAUUGCUUUCUGUGAAAUCCUGGCUAUCUUCCCUUCCCUAGUGUAGUCUGGACCUUCCCUCUUGUUCAUCUGUUUCCCCUAUCUUGUUGAAUCUUUAUUUCCCUUGCAGCCGUUGCUCCCCAGAGCAGGGGCUUAUACUAGAAGGAAGCCUUCUCUGUUCAGUUCUGAGAGUCACCUGGCACUGAUAUGCUCUGUCUCCUCUGGCCUUCUUACUACUGGUACCCGCUACUGGCUGCUCAUCCAAGCCCUCAAGUUUCAGGUGCUUUUCUCAGACAGGCUAUCUGUGGUUUUCAACAAAUUCAUGUCGGCUAUAUUGGGGUCUGUGGAUGUUCUGUCAGAAGCUUCCCUUGUGGCUUUCUCCUUCUUUCCCACAGACAGGUUUGACACCAAUUGCUUGAGGUUUGGGGUUGAAGGGGAUACCUUUUUUUAAAUUAAGUUUAGCCUACAGCUACCUCCUUACAUAGUUUAAGUUCAGCCUAAAGGUCUCUCCGUACAUAGUGAACUGUAACCUAACUGGGUGUGUACACAGACUGUAACCUACCCAUCUCAACAAUCAUCGAGAUGGCCAAAUGUUCAAGCCAUGUUCAAACAAGGCAAACACCAAGUUGUAACCACUCCAGCUGUUUCUGUACCUCACUUUUCUUUUUCUGUCCAUAAAUCUACUUUGACCAUGUGCAAGAGUCUUUCUGAAUUUAUUCUGGUUUGAGGCUGCCUGUUCUUUGCUCUGUUAAAUUUAAUUUGUUGAAGGUUUUUCUUUUAACACUUUUCACCUAGUUUGGCUAUAAAUGGGGUUUGUGGAUGUGUUUUGCUAUCCAUUGCUCUGUCUGUUUUUCUGGGGAGAUGGAAAAAAUAUGCUGCUGUUGUCUUUGCUACCUUUCUAUGUCUCUAGUUAUUAAAAAUUAUUAAAUUCUAAUAUACAUAGAGAAAAAUGAAUAUAAUGUGUAGCUUUAAAUGUAGAUUACCUGUGUUACCAGCACCCAGAUAAAGAAAUAUAACACUAGCACAAAUUACCUUAAUGCUGAGAUAAUUUUAGAGAUAUACACACAUAAAUAUUUUCUGGAUAAUUUCAAAAUCUCCAGUCCAUAAUUUUCUCUCAGAAUUCCUCUUAGCAGAUAAUAGCUUUAAAAAAAAGUACAUCUACAUUGAAACAGGUUUAGUAGUUCAACUGAAAAUACACAGAAAGACCUUCUUAUGCAUAGUUAAGUCAUCCUUUAAGUCUGUAUUUUUGCUUUAACAUGUAUAUAAGUAAUCUUUUUUCUUCUAGGUAGAGGAUUUCAGAUUUGAAAACAGCAUUUUGAACCUGAGAAAAUAUUUAAUAUGUUUGGAUUGAUUAAAAUCUAAUGCAGUUAAAAAUUAGUGUCCAAGAUAUUGAAAAGAAAAAGUUAUUUUCUUUGAAUGAGGCUUAGUUUGCCUUUUUGAGAAGUUUCUCUCCCUCCUUUUCUCUGUUUAAUGUUUCUUUUAUUAUAAUUUUCUAUCUGAAUUUUUGGGGAGCAAGCAGUGACUUGAUAAUUUGACUACAUAAAUUACAAUAUAAUGUGAUUUGUUUUCUUUCUUACAGCAAGGCAUUUAAUGGUUGAAAAGUUGAUAUUUUCCAAGAUAAUUUAAAAAUUAUUGGUAUGUAUCAUUUUAAUAUUAUGAUGAAACUUUCCUAACCUCUGUGUGUGUGUUUUAGUUUUAACAUACAAUAUUUCAUACAAUAUUUUUUAUUAUUUAUUUACUCAUUUUUUUUUUUUUUUUGAGAUGGAGUGUCACUCUGUCUCCCAGGCUGGAGUGCAGUUGUGCGAUCUCGGCUCACGGCAACCUCUGCCUCCCAAGUUCAAGCAAUUCUCCUGCCACAGCCUCCUGAGUAGCUGGGACUACAGGCAUGAGACCCAUUUUGUUUAUAUUAUAACCCAUCAGAUGUUGUUAUCCCCAUUGUAAAAGUGAGACAACUGAGGCAAAAAGAUACAAAGUAAUUUUCCUACAAAUGCACAGCUAAAAUUAGCAAAGCUGGGCUUUGAGAGCUGGCACACUGGCUUGAAACCAUAAAAUAAUUGCCUCUAUUCUUAAAAAAAGUAAGUCUAUUUCUCAUUAAUAAACACAAUUAAUAAACACAAUUUAAUAAAGGCUUGUGAUGUUUCAGCCUCACUAAAGAAUCAAAUAAAUCAUUGUACUUACUUUUAACUAUGCAGCAAAUCAAGUCUUAUUUUAUCCAUUUCUAAGAUCAGAGACUGAGGAUUAUACAUGCAGCAGAAUUUGAAGACAGAAAAAAAAAAAACAUGAUUACUGACCCUCUAAGGCCUAGGAAGCCUACUAUCUAGUAGGUGAUUAGCACUACAUAAAUGAAAUGGAUGCAUAAACUCAAAAUGGGAUAAACACUGUGAAGGAAAGUUAUAAUGUCAAGGAAUGAAAUUACAGAAAAUAAUUAAUUAAGAUUGAAGAUUUAGGGACAUUUUCUCUGGGGAAGUGAAAUUUUUAUUGAGGCUUGACAGAUGGAUAAGAGAUAACUGUGAGGCAGAUAGCAGAAAAAGAGCUUGUUGAUUUGGACGAAGCAAAAGCAGCAAGAGCAGAGCAAGUAGAGUGUCAUUACUGUGUGGAAAAAGAUGAAGAGUUGAGUGAGAACGAAAUAAUUAAUACGUGGUUUGACAAAGUAAGGAGUUUGGAUUUUAUAUAAAUUUAAGUAAAGAGGAGUGUUGGAGAUAUGAUUUGCAAUUUAUUAAAUUUAAUCUUCCUACUGCAGGAGAAGACUUUGACAGUAAUCCUUGAAGGUGAAAGAAUAAUUUGCUGGGUUAGGGGUAGUUGGGUCAGAUGGAAAUAAGCAGAUUUGGAGGUAGAAUGGACACAUGGCUGAUUGAUUGUGUAUAGGCUUAACUAAAGAAUUAAAUAUCAAGAAUGAGCCUCACUGCUCUGAUCCAUGCAAUUAUCCUGAAUUUCAGUUUUGAGCAUAUUUUGACCUAUAAGCUUGAAAUUCAUAGGAGAGGUUGUAGUCAAAUAGAAUUUGAGAAUUUGGGGCAUGGUAUUUAAAGCUGUAGGAAAGAAUAUUUACACAGAGAAUGUAGAAUGGGAAGUUAAGAAAAAACCUGGUUGAAACUUAAUAUACAUUAAAAAUUAGACAUCAAUUUACCAGGAAGGAGUGAAAUGAGACAGAAAAGGAAAAAAGCAAAAGUAUGGAAAGAAUAUAAGGAAAGUGCAAUGUCAUUGAAAUGAAGAAAAUAUGAAUGUAUGGCAGAGGCAGGAGUCAGCAUCUUUAAUGAUUCAGAAAGUUCUUGGGGGGUGUGGGGGAAGCGAGUUCUAAAUGAUACUGUGUUUGUGAAGCUGGAGCUCAAUGGUGAACACAGCAAAAACAAUCUGAGGGUGAUAGAUGGGUAAAAAAUUAUAUGGUAGGGAACUGAACAGUGAAAUUAAAGUGCAACUUUGUGGCAGCACAUGCAUACGUUGUUCUAGAAAGCCUAACUAUAAAAGUGGCAGAGAUACAGGUUCAUAAAAGAAGAUAGGAAAGCAGACCUGUGGUGCCUUCCUCUAUAUCAGACAGGAAAAAACUGGUAUGCAGGACAAAGGAGUCAAUUAGAAAUUUGAGCUUCAGAGAUUCAGUCUUCCCCAGGAAGGCAUGUUCCUCUGUGCCUGUGUCUUGCCUGUAUCUUUUGAACCUUAGUGCCUUGGGUAAAACACAUGAUUUCUGUGAGUUUGCCUUGACCAUUCAGUCCUGUGUGUUACAUAUAGAGGCAAAUUAGGGCUCAGAAAAGUUAAUAAUGCUAUUUAAGGUAGACAGGUCAUAGCAUGAUUGAAAUUGGAUUUAAAUCUAAGAUUUUCUAACUCCAAAACCUGUGAUAUUAACAAAUACUGUGCAGUCUUUCCCAAUAGCCCAAAAGAAAUGAAAAGUAAUAAUAGCAUAUUCUUUAUUCAUUCUGAAUAUAUAGAUAGCCCUUUUUCAACAGGAUUUGUAGGGCUUACAUUUUAAGUAUAAACAAAAUAUGAAAGACAGAGCAUAUAACCAAUAUAAAUGAGCUCAGACUAAGAUAAAACAUAGUUUUUAUCAAUUGACAUGUAUUUGGAUCCAGGGAUUCUGAUCACAUGGUAUUUUAGUUAAAAAACAACAACUGAGUGCUACAUAUCACAAGUAUCUGAUUUAACACGUAUUACUAAAGCUGUUUUAACUUGAAAAAUUAAAUAAAUACUUAAAUUAGAGAUAAAUUCAUCGUCUGAACAAGGGAAGGCCGUCUAGAUAAUACUCAAAGCAUGGUAAGUUGCGUUUCUCAUAAUGCUCUAUACGAGUCCUAUACAUUGUACAAACCUAAUACUUGCUUGUCAAAUGGAAAAGUCCAAGUGUGAAAUAAAAGGGGGCAGGAAAAAAAUUUGACUUGUGUGGUAAUCUUACAAACCUCUUACCUUACCUGAAUAAAUUACAACAGUUAUUGAACAAAUAUAAUUAAUAUUUGUUGUUAGAUGGUGUCUUAAAUCUGCAUGAUUAAACAAACGAAUGAGAAAAAGUAUGGCAACAUAAUUAAAGUAAAAUUACUCAUUUGUAGGAAAAUAAAGUUGAGUUUGAUAUAAAGACACAGGUAAUUACUGUAUUAUAAUUAAUAUAUGGUGAGUGACAAUUGCUUUUAGAAAACAGGUAGAAGAAAUGUAAAUUAACUGUAUGUUUAGUAACUCAAGUAGAGUAUGCAAUGUGGUCAUUGCUUAACCUAUGCAGUCAUUAAUAUCGACUCCAAAUGUAGAGCCAUUCUCAGAUUAAACUGAAAGACAAUCAUCAUAAAUUUCUUUUUUUAAUCUUUUAUUUUUAUUUUUAUUUUUAGUUUUGUACCCUAAAACUUAAAGUAUAAUAAAAAAACGUCAUAAAUUUCUUAUAGAUAUUAGAUGAGAUGAAUGUAUUGACAGUGAUGAAUGUAAAAGAUAAUAUUAAUUAGCUUAUUUUUAAAGCAUAAAGUAAUAUUAUGAGGUAUCUAAAUAUAGAGAAAACACAAAAUAAUUAUCUGCUUCAUUAAACAAGAAAGUGUUUAUUGGUAAAGGAUGAUAGAGUUCCUAGGGAAAUAUUUUAAAAUGAAGAAAAGUGGCCGGGUACGGCCGCUCACGCUUGGAACCCCAGCACUUUGGGAGGCCGAGGUGGAUGGAUCACCUGAGUUUGAGACCAGCCUGACCAACAUGGUGAAACUCUGUGUCUACUAAAAAUACAAAAAUUAGCCGGUUGUGGUGGCAGGCACCUGUAAUCCCAGCUACUUGGGAGGCCGAGGCACGAGAAUUGCCUGAAUCCAGGAGGCAGAGGUUGCAGUGAGCCAAGAUAGAGCCACUGUACUCCAGCCUGAGCAACAGAGUGAGAUUCUGUCUCUCUCACACACACACACACACAUAUACACACACACAAAAAGGAAGAAAGGGAAGGGCAGUAAAUUCUGAGAUCGAAUUUCUCAAAGUUAUAAUUCUUUGAGGGGCCAAUUGCAGUGGCUCAGGCCUGUAAUCCCAGUGCUUUGGGAGGCUGAGGCAGGAUUGCUUCAAAAUCAGCUUGUGCAACAUAGAGAGACCUUGUCUUCACAAAAAGUACAAAAUUGGCCAGGCACGGUGUCGCGUAUCUGUAGUCCCAGCUAUGUGGCAGGCUGAGGCAGGAGGAUCCUUGGGCCCCGUAAUUGGAGACUGUGGUGGGGUAUAAUCACGCCACUGCUGUCAAGCCUGGGCAACAGAGUGAGACCUUGUCUCUUAAAAAAAAAAAAAAGUCAUUAUGAAAUUAUCAUCUUCCUCAGGGGCCCCAAACACUGAUUGAGAUAACUGAGACAUUAAUAUUCAUGUGGUAAAUAAAAGGUUUCCCCUCUGGCAAAGGAGAGGAUGGCAAUUAAGUUACUGGUCUCCCAUGAUGCCUUUCUUCAUACUGUGUCUUUUGUUAUUUUUUAUUUUGUCUGGCCUCCCCAGUGAGUUUUAUUUUUUAGCUACUUUGUGAAACCUAUGUAAAUACAAGUUUAGAAUUGUUAAGGAUUUUAAAAUAGUCUUCUACUCAAAUCUUAAUAAGUGAAAUUCUUCAUACUAUUAUGAUCAUUUGUGGUACUUUAUGAAUGACCUGUGGCUUUUUUAUUUCAGUUCUUCGCACUAAAUACUUGAAACAGUAUUUUUUUUCAGUAUUUUAACAGUAUUAUUUUCCAUUUUAAUUAUUUUAUUCACAAGCUGUCUUUUUCUUCUCCUUACACAGUUAAACAUUUGAUAUGCCUUUCUUUGAAUUGUUUUUUUCUUUUCUUUCUUUGUAUAGCUACAGGGGGUACCUGUGCAGGUUUGUUACAUGUCUAUGUAACAUAUAUUGCAUAAUGGUGAGAUUUGGGCUUGUAGGCUACCCGUAACUGAGCAGGCAGCCCAGCUUACUCCCUCUUCAACCACAGUAUUUCCCAUUGCCUCUCUAAUGAAUUUCAGUGUUUUCUCACAAAAUAUAUGUUUAGAGUGUGAAGAUUUACUGGAUAUUUUGGUUCCUCUCCAUGGAAGAGGAGCACUGUAGCUACAUCUAAUCAGCCAUCUUGAGCCUCAAAAAUUAUUGACUGGAUUUGUGUACUAUUGUUUUCUGUCAGUAAAAAUAUAUACGGUAGCAAGUCUAAUUUUAAUUGCAUAGUAUACAUGACCCUCUAAGAAAGUAACUUUAAAAAUAACUUUUGGCCGGGCGCGGUGGCUCACGCCUGUAAUCC